UACGAAGGGUGCAAACGUUGCUCGGAAUUAUUGGGCGUAAAGCGCACGUAGGCGGUAUUGCAAGUCGGAUGUGAAAUCCCUCGGCUUAACCAAGGAAGUGCAUCCGAAACUGCCGUACUUGAGUACUUAAGAGGAUCGCGGAAUUCCCGGUGUAGAGGUGAAUUCGUAGAUAUCGGAGGAACACCAGUGGCGAAGGCGGCGAUCUGGGAAGAUACUGACGCUGAGGGUGCGAAAGCGUGGGAGCAAACAGG
rnacentral:rRNA from 1 species